rnacentral:rRNA from 1 species
ACUCCUACGGGAGGCAGCAGUGGGGAAUAUUGCACAAUGGGCGCAAGCCUGAUGCAGCCAUGCCGCGUGUGUGAAGAAGGCCUUCGGUUGUAAAGCACUUUCAGUUGUGAGGAAGGUGGUGUCGUUAAUAGCGGCAUCAUUUGACGUUAGCAACAGAAGAAGCACCGGCUAACUCCGUGCCAGCAGCCGCGGUAAUACGGAGGGUGCGAGCGUUAAUCGGAAUUACUGGGCGUAAAGCGCAUGCAGGUGGUUUGUUAAGUCAGAUGUGAAAGCCCGGGGCUCAACCUCGGAACUGCAUUUGAAACUGGCAGACUAGAGUACUGUAGAGGGGGUAGAAUUUCAGGUGUAGCGGUGAAAUGCGUAGAGAUCUGAAGGAAUACCGGUGGCGAAGGCGGCCCCCUGGACAGAUACUGACACUCAGAUGCGAAAGCGUGGGGAGCAAACAGGAUUAGAU